rnacentral:lncRNA from 1 species
CAGAAAUUUGACUGUGAACAUGAGUGUGAGCAUGUGUGUAUGGCAGGUGUGUGGGUGUGUGUGGGCAGGUGUGUGUGAGCGUGGGCAAGUGGGUGUGGUCAGGUGUGAGUGUGGGAAGCUGUGAGCAUGGGCAGGUGUGUGGGCAGAUGGGUGAGCGUGGGCAUGUGUGUGAGCAUGGGCAGGUGUGUGUGGGUGAGUGUGGGCAUCUGAGUGUGGCCAGGUGUGAGUGUGGGCAGGUGUCUGAGUGUGGGCAGGUGUGGGUGUGUGUGUGGGCAUGUUUGGGCAGGUGCGUGUGAGCAUGGGAGUGUGUGUAGGUGAGUGGGCAGGUGUGGGUGUGGGCAUCUGUGAGUGUGGGCAGGCGUGUGUGAUGGGCAGGUGUGCGUAAGUGUGGAUAGGUGUGUGGAUGAGUGUGGGCAGGUGUGCGAGCAUGGGCAGGUGUGAGCAUGGGUAGUUGUGUGUCAGCAUGGGCAGGUGUGUGUGGGGCAGGUGUGUGAGCACGGGUGUGAGUGUGGGCAUGUGUGAGCAUGGGCAUGUGUGGGUGUGAGUGGGCAGGUGUGUCUGAGUAUGGGCAGGUGUGUGAAGGCAGGUGUGAGCGUGGGCAGGUGUGUGGGUGUGAGCAUGGGCGGGUGUGUGAGCACGGGCAGGUGUGUGUGAGCGUGGGCGUGUGUGUGGGUGAGGGGGCAAGUGUGUCUGAGUGUGGGCAGGUGUGUGGGGGCAGGUGUGAGCGUGGGCAGGUGUGUGGGUGUGUGAGCAUGGGCGGGUGUGGGAGCACGGGCAGGUGUGUGUGAACGUAGCCAUGUAAGUGGGCAGGUGUGUGUGUGAGCGUGGGCGUGUGUAAGUGGGCAGGUGUGUGUGUGGGCAGGUGUGUGUAAGUGGGCAGGUGUGUGUUUGAGCGUGGGCAUGUAAGUGGGCAGGUGUGUGUGUGAGCGUGGGCAUGUGUAAGUGGGCAGGUGUGUGUGAGCGUGGGCAUGUAUGUAAGUGGGCAGGUGUGUGAGCGUGGGCAUGUGUGUAAGUGGGCAGGUGUGUGAGCGUGGGCAUGUAAGUGGGCAGGUGUGUGAGCGUGGGCGUGUGUAAGUGGGCAGGUGUGAGUGUGGGCAUGUGUGUAAGUGGGCAGGUGUGUGAGCGUGGGCAUGUGUGUAAGUGGGCAGGUGUGUGUGAGCGUGGGCAUGUGUGGGUGUGUAAGUGGGCAGGUGUGUGAGCGUGGGCGUGUGUGUGAGGGAGCAGGUGUGUCUGAGUGUGGGCAGGUGUGUGGGGGCAGGUGUGAGCAUGGGCAGGUAUGUGUGGGUGUGAGCAUGGGCGGGUGUGUGAGCACGGGCAGGUGUGUGUGAGCGUGGGCGUGUGUGGGUGACGGGGGCAAGUGUGUCUGAGUGUGGGCAGGUGUGUGGGGGCAGGUGUGAGCGUGGGCAGGUGUGUGUGGGUGUGUGAGCAUGGGCGGGUGUGAGCACGGGCACGUAUGUGUGUGAGCGUAGGCAUGUGUGUAAGUGGGCAGGUGCAUGUGAGCGUGGGCAUCUGUGGGCGUGUGUGUAAGCAUGGACAGGUUGCGUGCUCACUCGCACGCGGCAUGCAGCAGGCUGGAGUCAUGGUGAGCUAUUUGAGAAGUGCACAGGAGCCCUGGAGACCACAGCAGUUAGUCUGUAUGUGAUCUUGCUCCUGGAAACUCAUGAAGGGCACCGGGCAGCUGCACACACGUGAGAUGUGGUUUUGGAAAGGCUGUCAGAACAGUACCGAGGAUGUGCCGCAGGAAAACCAAAGGCGGGCGGGCGGGUCAGGCAUUCCUCUGUGGACUCAGUCUCUUCACGGGUGGGGUGAGUGACGUGAGGGCAUCGCCCGGCCCUCUGAGUUCUCGUCACCUGGGACUGGUCUUUCCGUGCCCUCGGUAUGUAGGUAACUGCUCAUAUUUCACCAUCGUUUGGGUUCUUCAUGAACAACUGUCACUCAGGCGUCACCCCCGGUAGUUUUGUAGGUGAUAACUGACAGUCACUUGGAUGCAGUGAGGGUCAGAGUUUCAUCCGCCUAAAAAUAUACAGCGGAGCCCUGCACUGGACUUGGG